UAGAGUUUGAUCAUGGCUCAGAAUAAACGCUGGCGGCGUGCCUUACACAUGCAAGUCGAGCGGAGAAAGCUUCUUCGGAGGCAAGUAUCAGCGGCGGACGGGUGAGAAACGCGUGAGAAUUUGCCCUUUAGUGAGGAAUACCUUUGAGAAAUCAGAGAUAAUACUGCAUAAGUCCCUUCGGGGAGAAAGGCCGCCUCUUUGCGGCCGCUAAGGGAUAAGCUUGCGUACUAUUAGCUAGUUGGUGAGGUAAAGGCCCACCAAGGCGAUGAUGGUUAGCCGGCCUGAGAGGGUGUACGGCCACACUGGAACUUAGACACGGUCCAGACUCCUACGGGAGGCAGCAGUGAGGAAUAUUGCGCAAUGGGCGAAAGCCUGACGCAGCGACGCCGCGUGGAGGAUGAAGGUCUUCGGAUUGUAAACUCCUGUUAAGUGGGGAGAAAGAAUUGUUUUUAAUAGAGACAAGAGAUGACGGUACCGUUAGAGAAAGCACUGGCUAAUCUCGUGCCAGCAGCCGCGGUAAUACGAGGAGGUGCGAGCGUUAUUCGGAAUUAUUGGGGCGUAAAGGGUGCGCAGACGGUUUGUUAGGUCAAUUGUUUAUUCCUCGGCCUAACUGAGGAUCAGCAGUAGAAACUGACAAGCUAGAGCGUGGAGAGCAGCGAAGUGGAAUUCUCGGAGUAGCGGUAAAUGGCUAGAUCUCGAGAGGAACACCGAUGGCAGGCAGCUCUGGCUCAUACUGACGUCAUGCACGAAGCGUGGGGAGCAAACAGGAUAGAUACCUGGUA
rnacentral:rRNA from 1 species